UAAAAAGUAAGCUAAUGAAGCUUUUGGGUUCAUACCUCAACUAUAGAAUUUAUUCUCUUUUUAA
rnacentral:tRNA from 1 species